rnacentral:rRNA from 1 species
AUUCCAGCUCCAAUAGCGUAUAUUAAAGUUGUUGUGGUUAAAAAGCUCGUAGUUGGAUCUCGGCGGUCUGAGGGCGGUUCGCUUCAGAGCGCUACUGCCCUAUAGACCGUAGUUUUGCCAGAGGUCUCAGGGUGCUCUUAACCGAGUGUCUUGCGAUGCUGGCAGGUUUACUUUGAAAAAAUUAGAGUGCUCAAAGCAGGCUUUUACGCCUGAAUAUUCGUGCAUGGAAUAAUAGAAUAGGAAGUCGUUUCUAUUUUGUUGGUUUUCGGAAAUCGACUUAAUGAUUAAUAGGGACAGUCGGGGGCAUUUGUAUUCAAACGACAGAGGUGAAAUUCUUGGAUUUAUGGAAGACAAACUAAUGCGAAAGCAUCUACCAAGGAUGUUCUCAUUG